UACGAAGGGUGCAAGCGUUAAUCGGAAUUACUGGGCGUAAAGCGCGCGUAGGUGGCCCCGUAAGUCCGCUGUGAAAGUCAAAGGCUCAACCUUUGAAAGCCGGUGGAUACUGUGGGACUAGAGUACGGAAGAGGCGAGUGGAAUUCCUGGUGUAGCGGUGGAAUGCGCAGAUAUCAGGAGGAACACCAAUAGCGAAGGCAGCUCGCUGGGACGUUACUGACACUGAGGCGCGAAAGCGUGGGGAGCGAACAGG
rnacentral:rRNA from 1 species